CCCCUUUCAGGAUUGUGCCUGGAGAGUUUCCAAUACUCUAAUAGCCUCAACUACAUGAGGGAGAGUCAAGCAGAGGCAUACCCAUUCUAUUCCUAACUUGGGCAGUGGCUAGUGAGUGGAAGACAAUCUGCUACAAGU